rnacentral:tRNA from 1 species
GGGGCUGUAGCUCAGUUGGCUAGAGCGCUCGCCUUGCAAGCGAGAGGCCGAGGGUUCGACUCCCUCCAGCUCCACCA